rnacentral:tRNA from 1 species
UUCCAGGGGCGGGAAUCGAACCCACAACCUUCCGCUUACCUGGCAGAUGCCAUGUCCACUAGGCUACCCUGGA